rnacentral:rRNA from 1 species
GUCGAUUAGCAGCACGGGAGCUGCUCCUGGUGGCGAGUGGCGAACGGGUGAGUAAUGCGUCGCGAACGUGCCGAGUAAUGGGGGAUAACGCGGCGAAAGUCGCGCUAAUACCGCAUACGCCCUGAGGGGGAAAGCGGGGGAUCGCAAGACCUCGCGUUAUUCGAGCGGCCGACGUCUGAUUAGCUAGUUGGUGAGGUAAAGGCUCACCUAGGCGACGAUCCGUAGCGGGUCUGAGAGGAUGAUCCGCCACACUGGGACUGAGACACGGCCCAGACUCCUACGGGAGGCAGCAGUGGGGAAUUUUGGACAAUGGGGGCAACCCUGAUCCAGCCAUGCCGCGUGAGUGAAGAAGGCCUUCGGGUUGUAAAGCUCUUUCGGCCGGGAAGAAAUCGUGGUCUCUAACAUAGGCCAUGGAUGACGGUACCGGACUAAGAAGCACCGGCUAACUACGUGCCAGCAGCCGCGGUAAUACGUAGGGGUUCCGAGCGUUAAUCGGAAUUACUGGGCUUAAAGCGUGCGCAGUCGGUUUUGUAAGACAGAUGUGAAAUCCCCGGGCUUAACCUGGGAACUGCGUUUGUGACUGCAAGUCUAUGAGUUCGUCAUAUGUUGUCGUUGAAUUCCUGGUGUAUCAGUGAAAUGCGUAGAGAUCAGGAGGAACACCGAUGGCGAAGGCAGCCCCCUGGGCCUGUACUGACGCUCAUGCACGAAAGCGUGGGUAGCAAACAGGAUUAGAUACCCUGGUAGUCCACGCCCUAAACGAGGUCGACUAGUCGUUCGGAGCAGCAAUGCACUGAGUGACGCAGCUAACGCGUGAAGUCGACCGCCUGGGGAGUACGGCCGCAAGGUUAAAACUCAAAGGAAUUGACGGGGACCCGCACAAGCGGUGGAUGAUGUGGAUUAAUUCGAUGCA